GCUGAAUUUAAGCAUAUUAAUAAGCGGAGGAAAAGAAAACAACUGUGAUUCCCCUAGUAAUGGCGAAUGAAACGGGAAGAGCCCAUCGUCGAAUCGCAAGUCGUCUCGGCUUUGUGAAAUGUGACGUUUGGGAGGGUCGCCCACGGUUCAGACGAUCAGUCCAAGUCCAACUUGACAGUGGCCACAGCCCAUAGAGGGUGAUAGGCCCGUAAGGCGGUUGUCUGGCUGUGCUGACCUCUCUCUAGAGUCGGAUUGCUUGGGAGUGCAGUCCAAAGUGCGAGGUAAACUCCUCGUAAGGCUAAAUAUAACCCCGAGACCGAUAGCAAACAAGUACAGUGAUGGAAAAUUGAAAAGAACUUUGAAGAGAGAGUUAAGAGUACGUGAAACUGUGUGGUGGUAAACGGAGGCGUUNCUCGAAGUGUCCGUGGGGGACUCAAGCUUGGUGGCNNGGGCAGCCGGUGCUCCUUGAUCAGCAAUGACUGGGUGUGCCGUGCAGGCUUGCCUCCCGGCCGCAUUUUCCCCGCGGUUGACGGCAGGAACUGUUGGGACCGGACCAAAGGCCUGGGAUGAAGUUGCUUGCCCUCACGGGCUUGUAGCUCCCGGUGUCCUGGCUUCGGGCCCGACGGGGUAUGAGUGGACUUGUAUAGCAAGCGACAGCCUGUUGCGGUUCACAUCUCUCUGCCGAGUAGGUCGGCGGCGCCUCCGACCCGUCUUGAA
rnacentral:rRNA from 1 species